rnacentral:rRNA from 4 species
GCUAAUCUGCGAUAAGCGCCGGUAAGGUGAUAUGAACCGUUAUAACCGGCGAUACCCGAAUGGGGAAACCCAGUGUGACUCGUCACACUAUCAUUAACUGAAUCCAUAGGUUAAUGAGGCGAACCGGGGGAACUGAAACAUCUAAGUACCCCGAGGAAAAGAAAUCAACCGAGAUUCCCCCAGUAGCGGCGAGCGAACGGGGAGGAGCCCAGAGCCUGAAUCAGCAUGUGUGUUAGUGGAAGCGUCUGGAAAGGCGCGCGAUACAGGGUGACAGCCCCGUACACAAAAGCGCAUGUGCUGUGAGCUCGAUGAGUAGGGCGGGACACGUGGUAUCCUGUCUGAAUAUGGGGGGACCAUCCUCCAAGGCUAAAUACUCCUGACUGACCGAUAGUGAACCAGUACCGUGAGGGAAAGGCGAAAAGAACCCCGGCGAGGGGAGUGAAAAAGAACCUGAAACCGU